GGCGGCACGCUGAUCCAGCCAUGCCGCGUGAGUGAAGAAGGCCUUCGGGUUGUAAAGCUCUUUCGGCCGGGAAGAAAUCGCAUAGGUUAAUACCCUGUGUGGAUGACGGUACCGGAAUAAGAAGCACCGGCUAACUACGUGCCAGCAGCCGCGGUAAUACGUAGGGUGCGAGCGUUAAUCGGAAUUACUGGGCGUAAAGCGUGCGCAGGCGGUUUCGUAAGACAGAGGUGAAAUCCCCGGGCUCAACCUGGGAACUGCCUUUGUGACUGCGAAGCUAGAGUACGGCAGAGGGGGGUGGAAUUCCACGUGUAGCAGUGAAAUGCGUAGAGAUGUGGAAGAACACCGAUGGCGAAGGCAGCCCCCUGGGCCGAUACUGACGCUCAUGCACGAAAGCGUGGGUAGCAAACAGGAUUACAUACCCUGGUAGUCCACGCCCUAAACGAUGUCAACUAGGUGUUGGGUGGGUAAAACCAUUUAGUACCGUAGCUAACGCGUGAAGUUGACCGCCUGGGGAGUACGGCCGCAAGGUUAAAACUCAAGGA
rnacentral:rRNA from 1 species